UAACUUCAGAACACUUCCGUCAGCCUAGCAACACCUCAGCUGUUUGCUGUGCUCCUUUCUGAUGUCUGGAUAAUCCGUGGGGAUGACUGACAUGAAGGUUUCUCUUAAAGCAGGGGAAAACCAGAGAGGAGAUGAGUGAAGAGAUUACCACUGAGCUGAGAUUCCUCCUACUGGAGCCCUAAGGCAUUACCAAUGGGUCAAAGCACAAUCAAACCAGAUCUUGGCACUACCAAGCUUUUAUUUAAAGGGGGAAAAAACUAUUGCAGACAAGGCCACAAGCAUCACAUCUUCAGUUUCAAACAAAGACAACCAGCCUGCCAAGCCCGGUGUUGCUCUGGGACGGACCUGUCAAUCACUCCUGACGGCACCCUGACAACAUGUACGUUAAAAUUUCA